rnacentral:rRNA from 1 species
UACGUAGGGGGCAAGCGUUGUCCGGAAUUAUUGGGCGUAAAGAGCUCGUAGGCGGUCUGUCGCGUCGGCCGUGAAAUCUCCACGCUUAACGUGGAGCGUGCGGUCGAUACGGGCAGACUUGAGUUCGGUAGGGGAGACUGGAAUUCCUGGUGUAGCGGUGAAAUGCGCAGAUAUCAGGAGGAACACCGGUGGCGAAGGCGGGUCUCUGGGCCGAUACUGACGCUGAGGAGCGAAAGCGUGGGGAGCGAACAGG